rnacentral:rRNA from 1 species
AUUGAACGCUGGCGGCAUGCCUUACACAUGCAAGUCGAGCGCGAAAGGGGGGCAACCCCGAGUAGAGCGGCGGACGGGUGAGUAACACAUCGGAACGUGCCCAGUAGUGGGGGACAACCUCGAGAAAUCGAGGCUAAUACCGCAUACGACCCACGGGUGAAAGCGGGGGACCCAAAGGAAACUGAGGGCCUCGCGCUAUUGGAGCGGCCGAUGUCCGAUUAGCUAGUUGGCGGGGUAAGAGCCCACCAAGGCGACGAUCGGGAGCUGGUCUGAGAGGACGACCAGCCACACUGGGACUGAGACACGGCCCAGACUCCUACGGGAGGCAGCAGUGGGGAAUUUUGGACAAUGGGGGCAACCCUGAUCCAGCCAUGCCGCGUGCGGGAAGAAGGCCUUCGGUUGUAACCG